UUUUGGGUAGUAAUAGUUAUGUCCUUGAAACCCAAAGAAUUUGGCGGUAUUUUAUUCUUUUUAGAGGAGCCUGUCCUGUAAUUGACAAUCCACGAUAGGUAAUUACUUGUUUUUGUAUUCAUUUUGUAUACCUCCGUCAUCAGAGUAUCUUUUUAGAGAAAAUAUUCAUGUAAUAUAAAAUAUUUUAUGUCAGGUCAAGGUGCAAUUUAUAAACAAGUAGAGAUGGGCUACAAUAAAUUUAUUUAUACGGAUUGAUAUUGUUAUUUUUAUCAUGAAGGUGGAUUUAAAAGUAAAAUUAAUUCUUUAUUAAUUUGAUUUUAGCUCUAAAAUAUGCACACAUCGCCCGUCGCUCUUAUUUUAAGAUAAGAUAAGUCGUAACAUAGUAGGUGUACUGGAAGGUGUACCUAGA
rnacentral:rRNA from 1 species